AUGUGAGGAUAACAAGUGUUCGGUAAAUUUGGUUUUGAUUCAAGAUAUCAUCCCAUUUAGAGAAUAUUAACAGAGAUAUAUGUCAUUGCUGAUACUCAUGGAUUGAGAGUUGUGUUUAUGAGGAUCAGAUGACACCAAAGUCUACAAAGCUAUAUGUACAAUGUGAGAGUGAAGCAACUUAACCGUGAUAAAGGUACCGAUAAUUGGAACUUAGUGAUGAAACUAACCUUAGAUCAAGGGACUCGGUACAAUGAAGCUAAAAGGCUAUGAUGUGUAGCGUCCAAAGAGGAUAAGAGAACUAGUCCAUAGUGUCCCCCAAUCAACCUCAUCUUAAGGGGGUAGUACCAUGAUAUCACAUGAUGAUGCUUUUCAAUCGAUCCUGAAGUGAUAAUUGUCUCUUGAGAUAUUCUAUGAUUAUGGUCAUCUAUAAGAAGUUUAAGUUUUGUCAAGAUUGAUCUUCGCUUCGAGCCACCCUUAGUUGUGAGAUCAAUUUUUACCAUACUUAGGAUGUACCUAAGACGUGAUGUGGAGCAUGGAAGUACUAUCUUCUUGGACAUAAAAAAAAUGAAAAAAAAUGACAUCAAGGUGGACCACAAGAAUCUAAAGAACGUAUUUAGUAAGUUGGUUUUGAGCUAGUGUCAUUAUUAUUGAGUUGGAAUUAACUAUUACUUUGAAUAUUGGUGCUAUCAUUUGAAGAAGUAUAUGUGGAUACCGAUGCCCUUAGAGUGCGCUAUGAAAGUUCAAACGACACUAGGUUUGAGAAUUUGUGUGCGGAACUUGAGUGAUGUCACUAACACUACAAAUUUGUAAUCAAUAGAGCUCAUCUUGGGAACAAGAUGAAUUGUGGAAUGUUAAUUGGACGAUAAAGUAAUACGGAGAAAGUUGAGUAUAUCAUGGUUGGAAAGGCAUCAAGUUCUAAAUGGAUAGGUAAAGAACAUAUACCCUA
rnacentral:lncRNA from 1 species